GAUGAACGCUGGCGGCGUGCCUAAUACAUGCAAGUCGAGCGAACAGACGAUGAUCUUGCUCCUCUCUCGUUAGCCGCGCACGUGUGAGUAACACGUGUAUACCCUCCCUAUAAUACUGGUAUAACUUCGGGAAACCGGAGCUAAUACCGUAUAAUAUAUUGCACCGCAUUGUUCAAUAGAGAAAUACGGUUUUGCUGUCACUUAUAGAUGGAUCCGCGCCGCAUUAGCUAGUUGUUACGGUAAAGGCUUUCCACGGCAGCGAUGCGUAUCCGACGUCCGAGGGGGAUAGGCCACACGGGAAGUGAGACACGGUCAAGACUACUACGGGAGGGAGCAGUAGCGAAUGGUACGCAACGGGCGAAAGCAUGACGGAGCAAGGCCGAGUGAGAGAUGAAGGUCUUCGGAUCGUAAAAAUCGGUUAUGAGGGAAGAACAAAUGUGUAAGGAAAUAAGCACGUCGUGACGGUAAUUAAUAAGAAAGCAACGGCUAACUACGUG
rnacentral:rRNA from 1 species